GACGAACGCUGGCGGCGUGCUUAACACAUGCAAGUAGAACGAAGUGGCGAACGGGGGAGUAAUACGUGGGUAACCUGCCCUCCUUUUUGGGAUAAGACUUGGAAACGGGGUCUAAUACCGAAUAAAGGGGGAUGGGCUCGCGGCCUAUCAGCUUGUUGGUGGGGUGAUGGCCUACCAGGGGGGUGACGGGUAGCCGGCCUGAGAGGGUGACCGGCCACAUUGGGACUGAGAUACGGCCCAGGCUCCUACGGGAGGCAGCAGUGGGGGAUAUUGCGCAAUGGGCGAAAGCCUGAUGCAGCGACGCCGCGUGGGGGAUGAAGGCUUUCGGGUUGUAAACCUCUUUCGCUCUCGAACGGGUAGGUUGAGAAGAAGCGCCGGCUAACUACGUGCCAGCCGCCGCGGUAAUUC
rnacentral:rRNA from 1 species